rnacentral:sRNA from 1 species
UGAGAAGGAGCCAAUGUGGACGAAGUCCACAUUCUGCGAAUGGCUCCGACGAUAUGCCGCCAACCGGAUGGGAGGGGGCGAUACAUAU